UCGUAGGUACCGUAACCCAGUCACCCCGAC
rnacentral:sRNA from 1 species